CCUACGGGAGGCAGCAGUAGGGAAUUUUCGGCAAUGGGGGGAACCCUGACCGAGCAACGCCGCGUGAAGGAAGAAGUUAUUCGUAAUGUAAAGUUCUUUUAACAGGGAAGAAAGAGAAAUUUGACGGUACCUGAAGAAUAAGCUCCGGCUAACUACGUGCCAGCAGCCGCGGUAAUACGUAGGGAGCGAGCGUUAUCCGGAAUUAUUGGGCGUAAAGGGUGCGUAGAUGGCAUAGUAAGUCUUUUGUAAAAAUGCUGGGCUCAACCCAGUAGGGCAAAAGAUACUGCAAAGCUAGAGUAUGACAGAGGCAAGUGGAACUACAUGUGUAGCGGUCAAAUGCGUAGAUAUAUGUAAGAACACCAGUGGCGAAGGCGGCUUGCUGGGUCGAUACUGACAUUGAGGCACGAAAGCGUGGGGAGCAAACAGGAUUAGAUACCCCGGUAGUC
rnacentral:rRNA from 1 species